rnacentral:rRNA from 1 species
UACGGGGGGAGCAAGCGUUGUUCGGAUUUACUGGGCGUAAAGGGCGCGUAGGCGGCCAGCACAAGUCAGUUGUGAAAUCUCCGAGCUUAACUCGGAAAGGUCAACUGAUACUGUGCGGCUAGAGUGCGGAAGGGGCAACUGGAAUUCUUGGUGUAGCGGUGAAAUGCGCAGAUAUCAGGAGGAACACCAACGGCGAAGGCAGCUCGCUGGGACGGUACUGACGCUGAGGCGCGAAAGCGUGGGGAGCGAACAGG